CCCUUAGACGUUCUGGGCCGCACGCGCGCUACACUGACCGGCGCAACAAGUUUCUUUCCUUGGCUCGAUAGGCCUGGGUAAUCUUUGAACGCCGGUCGUGAUGGGGAUAGAUCCUUGCAAUUUUUGAUCUUCAACGAGGAAUUCCUAGUAAAUGCGAGUCAUCAUCUCGCGUUGAUUACGUCCCUGCCCUUUGUACACACCGCCCGUCGCACCUACCGAUUGAAUGGUCCGGUGAAGCCUCGGGAUUGCGAAUGCUUCGUGCGGACGCGAGAACUUGGCUAAACCUUACCAUUUAGAGGAAGGUGAAGUCGUAACA
rnacentral:rRNA from 1 species